rnacentral:rRNA from 1 species
UUGAACGCUGGCGGCAGGCCUAACACAUGCAAGUCGAGCGGUAACACAGAGAGCUUGCUCUCGGGUGACGAGCGGCGGACGGGUGAGUAAUGUCUGGGAAACUGCCUGAUGGAGGGGGAUAACUACUGGAAACGGUAGCUAAUACCGCAUAACGUCGCAAGACCAAAGUGGGGGACCUUCGGGCCUCAUGCCAUCAGAUGUGCCCAGAUGGGAUUAGCUAGUAGGUGGGGUAACGGCUCACCUAGGCGACGAUCCCUAGCUGGUCUGAGAGGAUGACCAGCCACACUGGAACUGAGACACGGUCCAGACUCCUACGGGAGGCAGCAGUGGGGAAUAUUGCACAAUGGGCGCAAGCCUGAUGCAGCCAUGCCGCGUGUGUGAAGAAGGCCUUCGGGUUGUAAAGCACUUUCAGCGGGGAGGAAGGCGGUGAGGUUAAUAACCUCAUCGAUUGACGUUACCCGCAGAAGAAGCACCGGCUAACUCCGUGCCAGCAGCCGCGGUAAUACGGAGGGUGCAAGCGUUAAUCGGAAUUACUGGGCGUAAAGCGCACGCAGGCGGUCUGUCAAGUCGGAUGUGAAAUCCCCGGGCUCAACCUGGGAACUGCAUUCGAAACUGGCAGGCUAGAGUCUUGUAGAGGGGGGUAGAAUUCCAGGUGUAGCGGUGAAAUGCGUAGAGAUCUGGAGGAAUACCGGUGGCGAAGGCGGCCCCCUGGACAAAGACUGACGCUCAGGUGCGAAAGCGUGGGGAGCAAACAGGAUUAGAUACCCUGGUAGUCCACGCCGUAAACGAUGUCGAUUUGGAGGUUGUGCCCUUGAGGCGUGGCUUCCGGAGCUAACGCGUUAAAUCGACCGCCUGGGGAGUACGGCCGCAAGGUUAAAACUCAAAUGAAUUGACGGGGGCCCGCACAAGCGGUGGAGCAUGUGGUUUAAUUCGAUGCAACGCGAAGAACCUUACCUGGUCUUGACAUCCACAGAACUUUCCAGAGAUGGAUUGGUGCCUUCGGGAACUGUGAGACAGGUGCUGCAUGGCUGUCGUCAGCUCGUGUUGUGAAAUGUUGGGUUAAGUCCCGCAACGAGCGCAACCCUUAUCCUUUGUUGCCAGCGGUUAGGCCGGGAACUCAAAGGAGACUGCCAGUGAUAAACUGGAGGAAGGUGGGGAUGACGUCAAGUCAUCGUGGCCCUUACGACCAGGGCUACACACGUGCUACAAUGGCAUAUACAAAGAGAAGCGACCUCGCGAGAGCAAGCGGACCUCAUAAAGUAUGUCGUAGUCCGGAUUGGAGUCUGCAACUCGACUCCAUGAAGUCGGAAUCGCUAGUAAUCGUAGAUCAGAAUGCUACGGUGAAUACGUUCCCGGGCCUUGUACACACCGCCCGUCACACCAUGGGAGUGGGUUGCAAAAGAAGUAGGUAGCUUAACCUUCGGGAGGGCGCUUACCACUUUGUGAUUCAUGACUGGGGUG